CAUUUUGUGGGCACAUCCUUGUGCAGUUUUAAUGGUUGGUGCUGUACAGAAAUACUUGUAGCUUCAUGGCUGAAGGAGCAAUCUGAAAAUGUGGAGGGUGUUCCUGAAGGAGGUACAAGUCUGUGAAAGUGUUCUUCAAAUGCAUGAGCCUUGCUUUGAGCUUAAUACUUGAAGCCCCUCUCUAAUUCAUACUGUGUGCAGCUUCUGGGGUGUCGGGGUAGAUGCUGUGAGGUGUCCACAGCCCUGCUUUGGUCAGCAAGAGCCAGAAGGACCCCUAGCACCUCUGCUGACUUGGGCUUUUUUGUCUUCCAGUACUCUGAGUGCAAAUAGAUGCUUAAAUAAAGCUAAAUUGAAAGUAACGUGGAUAUGGGGACAAAUCAGUGGCUGUAAAUUUGAAAACGCUAAUUGAUUAUUUUUUUAAAUCAGUAAUUACAAGUGCAGCAAAGACUCCCAAGAGUCUCAACGCAUAUGUCCCAAUGGAGGGACAGGCCACUUCUGUCGUGCCAUCUGGUGCACGUUAAUAGAUAACUGCUACCUUGCCACCGUGCCCUGUUCGCUGGAGAUAACUUAUAGCAUGCUCCAGUCAAACCUGACAGCCCUUUUCCAGCAGGUUCAGAGAGCGGUGAGAUGCUGUACAGAAGUGCGACUCUUCCCCCCAGGUGAAGUGCUUAAUCUCUGGUUGUUUGUAGGUGGAAGCAGUGAAACAGAAAGAUAAAUAGCCCUGUGCCUUUCAGCAAGCUCUGAGAAGAAAAGGAGGGUGUGGUGCCCUGUCUGUUGCUUCUCCUGAUUUUUGCAGGGGGAACAGCAGCUAUGGUGACAAUGUGAGGGGUGACCAGAGCACGGCUCGGGUCCUACCUGGGCUGUCCCUGGGGUGCAUGGCAAAGCACGCCCGCAGUCCCUGCCUUGCUCUCAUUUUUCUCAGACUGACUAUUGCUGUACAGGGGUCCUUUGAAUCGUGCGUGGUGAUGGGGGCACAGAGGCAGAUCACCCCAGCUUGCCAGUGGCUAGCAGCAUGUCUCAUGGUCAAGGUGCCUUGUUACCUGCUUGGCAGAACAAGCAGGAGAUUAAACAGCAAGAUGAAAGCCUAAUGCCUAACGUGGCAUGGUCCUGUCAACCCGUCGGCAGCUGGGAACAAACACCACCUCCAAAGAUAUGAUUUACCUGGGCUUUCGACUGAUGGCUUCUGCAGCAGCAGCAUACAAUGGAACCGGUUCGUCUGUCCCCUCCUGCUGCGGGGAUUCUCGGUGUCUGUUUUCCUCCUUUGAUGUGCUGCAUGCAUGGGAGGUCUGCUGGGUUAAAAGAGGCAGCCUCAGUGCUGAAAUCCUCCAAGAGCUCGUUAGCCUUCUGCAGAAACGGAGCGAGUAACUCGGGCAGGGAAAUGCUGCGACCUUCUGGCCUCUUUCCUGGGGUCGGGUCCUGUAGGAAGGAAGGAGAGGCUGAGGCUGGUAUUCCUGGAAGCCCAGUUUCAUUAAGAGGGAUUUUUUUUUUUUUUUUUUUUUUUUUACCAAACCCAGGUAUGCUUUGCACCUGGUUCCUUAUGUAAUUAAUCCUAAAAUCUUGGUUGAACUCUCUUCUCGAGGAGGAAAGCAGGGAUGUCCGUGUUGCUGUCUGGGACAGAGGAACAGGACUGUGGUAAGAGGGGUGCAGGCUCUCCCACCACCACGCUAUUUGCUAAUGAUAUGGGCUACAGAUGGGGGGUUUGCUCUGUGAGCCUGAAUAUUGACCAGGGAUAUCUGACCGGGUUAGAAACUCCCUCUGGGAGGGAGACCGCUCCCUUGGCAUGCUCUGUUGUGGUAAACGACAGCCUUAGCUGUUAGACGCAGGCCAGGGAUGGAAAAUCUACCACGACAUUCAGUGUUCGAGAGAGCUGAAUUUAGCAGGCAAGGAAGAAUUAAACAUCCCAAUUCCUCGAAACUGCCACCCUGCUCAGGUCCUGAUGCUCGGUGCUGCUCAGCCCCCUCCCCGCUGGCGGGGGCACCCGAGGUCCCCGUUGUGCCCGUGUCUCGCCCCGCUGCGAGUGCCCCCAGGCCACUUCUGGGAACACAAGGGUGUGCACAGAUCUCCGGGUUCAAAACCUCUCUACAGCUACGAAGCGCUGAGUUCUGCCAGUGUUAUGUGACACCCCAUAGCAGUUUAUAGUCCAUUGUGAAAAAAUAAAGAUGUUUGUUGGUAAUGAACAGUAUCUGACAAGCUUGAAAAUCUGCUUGGAUGACCUCAGCUUAGAAG